rnacentral:lncRNA from 1 species
GGCAUUUGUUUCUGAAAUAAAGACAGAUUUCAAACUAGCUCAAUAGAUUUUGAUUAAAUUCCACUAAUGUUAAUUGGACGCCUACUCCACACAAGCCAUUGUGGAUGAUACAAAAAUGAAUAACACAUGGUCCUUGCCACAUGGGAACUUUCAUUCUCUACAACCACUUGGAGAAACUCCUGUAACUCUUCCCUUUUACAUUUCCUUCAUGUAGGGGUGAAAGACAUGAAAUACAACCUGUUACAAAUAGCAGAGUGAUGAAGAAAGAAAGCCAAUUUCUGGAAGGAAUAAAGGGUCCCAAUCUUAGGCAACUUGAAGUGUGCUAGAAAAGGAAGAAAAGAGACUACUGGCAGACUAAGAUAUAUAAAUAUGGUAAACCAGAAUCCAAAGAAAAAAUACCGGUCGUUUGAACCCAGUAGAUCGAGGGAUAAUCCAGAAGAAGGAGAAAACCGCAUUUCCUCCAGCCCUGCAACCUGGUUCAUGGCACCACUCGGACAUACUGGAGAUCAGGAACCAGCCCACACAUGGAUGUGUGGCUGCCGGAGAGGUGAGCACA